rnacentral:rRNA from 1 species
CGUGCUUUCGAUACGGGUUGACUUGAGGAAGGUAGGGGAGAAUGGAAUUCCUGGUGGAGCGGUGGAAUGCGCAGAUAUCAGGAGGAACACCAGUGGCGAAGGCGGUUCUCUGGGCCUUUCCUGACGCUGAGGAGCGAAAGCGUGGGGAGCGAACAGGCUUAGAUACCCUGGUAGUCCACGCUGUAAACGGUGGGUACUAGGUGUGGGGUCCAUUCCACGGGUUCCGUGCCGUAGCUAACGCUUUAAGUACCCCGCCUGGGGAGUACGGCCGCAAGGCUAAAACUCAAAGGAAUUGACGGGGCCCCGCACAAGCGGCGGAGCAUGCGGAUUAAUUCGAUGCAACGCGUAGAACCUUACCUGGGUUUGACAUGGAUCGGGAGUGCUCAGAGAUGGGUGUGCCUCUUUUGGGGUCGGUUCACAGGUGGUGCAUGGCUGUCGUCAGCUCGUGUCGUGAGAUGUUGGGUUAAGUCCCGCAACGAGCGCAACCCUUGUUCACUGUUGCCAGCACGUUAUGGUGGGGACUCAGUGGAGACCGCCGGGGUCAACUCGGAGGAAGGUGGGGAUGACGUCAAGUCAUCAUGCCCCUUAUGUCCAGGGCUUCACGCAUGCUACAAUGGCUGGUACAGAGAGUGGCGAGCCUGUGAGGGUGAGCGAAUCUCGGAAAGCCGGUCUCAGUUCGGAUUGGGGUCUGCAACUCGACCUCAUGAAGUCGGAGUCGCUAGUAAUCGCAGAUCAGCAACGCUGCGGUGAAUACGUUCCCGGGGCUUGUACACACCGCCCGUCAAGUCAUGAAAGUUGGUAACACCCGAAGCCGGAGGCCUAACCGUUGUGGGGGAGCCGUCGAAGGUGGGACCC